rnacentral:rRNA from 1 species
AAACGUAGAUAUUAUCUCCACAUUUCUUAUCCGCCUGGGAAUUAUGAGCGCAAGUUUAAAACCCAAAGGACUUGGCGGUGCUUCACGUCUACCUAGAGGAGCCUGUUCUAUAACCGAUACUCCCCGUUAAACCUCACCCUCCCUAGUUUCUACCGCUUAUAUACCACCGUCGGAAGCUUACCCUGUGAAGGCCUUAUAGUAAGCACGACUGGUACAACCCUAAACGUCAGGUCGAGGUGCAGUUGAUGAGAGGUGAUAUUGCGAUGGGCUACAUUUCCUAUUUAUUUAGGGGCACGAAUUUUUGUAUUGAAACAUACAUUUGAAGGAGGAUUUAGAAGUAAGUGAAAAGCAGAGAGUUCU